GACGAACGCUGGCGGCGUGCUUAACACAUGCAAGUCGAACGGAAAGGCCCUGCUUUUGUGGGGUGCUCGAGUGGCGAACGGGUGAGUAACACGUGAGUAACCUGCCCUUGACUUUGGGAUAACUUCAGGAAACUGGGGCUAAUACCGGAUAGGAGCUCCUGCUGCAUGGUGGGGGUUGGAAAGUUUCGGCGGUUGGGGAUGGACUCGCGGCUUAUCAGCUUGUUGGUGGGGUAGUGGCUUACCAAGGCUUUGACGGGUAGCCGGCCUGCGAGGGUGACCGGCCACAUUGGGACUGAGAUACGGACCAGACUCCUACGGGAGGCAGCAGUGGGGAAUAUUGCACAAUGGGCGGGAGCCUGAUGCAGCAACGCCGCGUGCGGGAUGACGGCCUUCGGGUUGUAAACCGCUUUCGCCUGUGACGAAGCGUGAGUGACGGUAAUGGGUAAAGAAGCACCGGCUAACUACGUG
rnacentral:rRNA from 1 species